ACACAAUGGCGGGAAAGUUUGAAUAGGGGCAAGCGACAGUGAAUGGGACAGAAAAGAGUGAAUGAGUGUAUUUUACCGACAGGAAUGCAAUAUGACAUUCAACAACGGCAACAACGGCGUAAAUUCUGAAGGAAUGAUGUCCAACAUGACUGCAGAAUUAUACAGCCGAUAGGUGUUUCCAAAAAAGGGCAUCCUACCGAUUUUCUUCCUGAUAUUGCUGGAUACGAGAAGAAAUCAUGGAAACUUCAGGAAAUGAUUUCAAACAUCACUUUUAGAGAUAGCAAGACCAGGGCAAGGUGUCGACCAAGACUUCUACCACUCAAUGCGUGUCCAUAUCCUGAGCCUGCGAGCCACAUUGGAUGAUUGGAAGUGGGAUAAAGGCAUACGUUCGAGGACACAUCCACAGACACAUCUUCCUUCAUAUGACCUGGGCUCCGUAACACAAAGGUUUGCGAUCAAUUGCAAAUAUGGAAGAACCGCACUGAUUGGUCGCUGGCCAGAAUUUUAAACCUUAUGCGCAUGUAACAUUGAUAUUGAUUGGUCAGUUCAUUUAGCGAUUGAUCGCUAAUCUUUGUGUUACGGAGCCCUGUCAGCGAAGAACCGAGCAGCUAGGAGAUGAUGAUCAAGAGAUGAUGAUAGGUCAGGUGGAUAGCAGAGUGUUACUCGGAAGGCAAUUGUGGUGAGAUGAGGUCUUCCAUGUACGUUGUAUAUGCACCCGCAGUUUUACCAUGGAGCUAUUAAACAGCUCCAUGGUUUUACCACGAGAAGGAAUAAGAUGUGGACAGUGUAUUUCAUCCUAACAUGGGACCAUGCGGAUACCAUGGUUGGAAAGUUCACCCGAUGCAGCCUCACCAUGGUGAGAGGUGAUCAAGGAUCCAGUUGUUGCCGGUCCGCGAGUCCGGUCCGGAGUCCGAGGAACUUCACUUACAAGGCGGGAAUGUUCCAGAGGAUGUUACGGUUUUUUUACAAUCAGAGUGUGUUUUUAAGGUCUUCUGUGCACCAUAAAAACAAUUAUGUGUAAGUUAUCAGGCACUGAGCUGCAAGACAAUACUUCUCAAACGACCAUAUCUGGCAUUAAAGUAGGAAAAAAAUUGCAGUUUCAUUUAUUCCCCUCCAAUUUCAAGACCGCGCAUAUCGCAUAUCUAUUCCCGGAUGUAUUAAUCAGCUAUGACAAGGCAUUGUUUUACCAAUCAGAAUUGACUGUUUAAAUAAAUGACAGCCCAUGGAAAAGCUACAGAUAACUCGAUUAUUUGUGCGACUUUUAGCUCAAAUUUGGGUAUUCUGUCCAAAACGUCCUCUCCGAAUUCGGUAGUUAUAUACGCGUAUUGUACUUGAUUAUAUUAUGUUUCUAUGGAUACUUUUACAUAUAUUUUAUGCAACAAACUUAGAAUAAUUAGUGACGAAAUUUUUUUAAAGUGAAAUGAGACGCGCAGUAUACUUUGAUUGUAAAACAACCCUUAACACUGUUAAAAGCGCUGUUUAAAAUUAUAAGCACGUUGUUUAAGCCCGUCUCUCUAACAACUAUUGUUAAAGCUUUACUGUUUAAACUUUUCAAACAACGAUCGUCUUCUCAUUUAGCCUAUCAGAUACUUUAUAUUACAGCACGGGAAUGUUCCAAGGACGUUAACAGGCCUGUUAUAGCAGAAUUCAGUCAGCAUCGAUCGACAUACAGGGAAUGUAUUAACUGCAGAUUUAUCAAGAUAGACACUGGUUUUGUAAUUCAGUUUUUCCGUUAGUUUUCUGAAUAACGCCAUUAAAAUAUAAAACAAAUAAGGAGAAAGGUAAAAGACUCGCCGCAUUCAUGGAAGGAAGAUGAACUGAUUUGGUUGAUUAAUUUUUCUCCAUUGAAUCCUACCUUCAUAGUAAAAAAGCACGUGUUUAAGCCUGUCACUCUAAAAAAAGUUGUUUAAACUUUUGUGUAAUUGUUUUUAAACAACUUGUUCAUGUUGUAAUAUAAUAUGUCAUUAUUUAAGGCUUCAUUUUGGAUUUUAGUAGAAUUACAACAUGAAAGUCUUAGGCUUUAACGGAAGAUGUUUUUUUUUUAUUCCCAAAGCAAGGGAACAAAGCGACCAAGCUAAUCAUGAAACUUGCAGUUUCAUUCGUGAAAUUUAAGGCUAAUUUUGCAUAGUUUGGUGAAUUUAACUGAUAUUUUAAGACAAAAAGCGUAAACUCCCACAUUUUUUGUCUGUUUUGGACGGGGAUGACAACCCGCCUUUCUAUUCUGAAUUUGGCCCUCUCCACCAAAGUGUAGGUAGUACAUGGGUACAGUAUGCAGCGCUUAGAAAAAAAAACAAGCGCUACAUAAUAAAUUUUGCAAUUUUGUAAUAAAUUAUUGUAAUACUGUAUAGUUUUUGUGAUAGGUUCAAGCUAAGAUUCAUUGCUUUAUCAAUUUUUGGACCAGUAAUGUCCAUUCCUUAGUGUUGUGAUGUUUCAACCCCCCUCUCUCUCCCCCUUUUUUGGAGGGGGGGGGGGUAGGGUUUUCAUUUAUCAUGCAUUUUGUCAUUAGUGGUCCACAAAUUAAUUUGGGAGCAAUUAUAAUACAUUUAACGUAUCUAUGGCCCAUAAAAGAUUACUCUGUAAUAAGGCAAACAAUUCAACAGGCCCAUUUGUUGAAUGGCUUACAUUUUGGACAUUCAUUUCUGGAAUGCAUUGUAUUACUGAACCUUUUCUAAUGAAUGGAGAGUAACAAAAGUGAAAGUCCAGUUAGCCGUUUGACUGUUAGGAAAGCUUCAUCUGAUAUACUUUUAAGGGCAAGUCCACCCCAACAAAAAGUUGAGUUGAAUUAUCAAACAAUCAAAAUAAAAGUUUCAUCAAAUCGGAUGUAAAAUAAAAAAAAGUUAGAAAAUUAUCAGUUUGAGAAAGACAGAGGGGGGGGGGGGUCAUAUUAUGUAAAUGAGAGAGUCGAUUAUGUCACACACCAUUUCUUUUGUAUUUUACUAGAUGAAACAUAGACAUACCAAUUUUUGCAGAUUUGACAGUUAGAAAGCAUCUUCAUUGAUUGAAUGAGAAUAAUUAUGUUGCAAUAAGGAUAAUCCUAUACAUGCAAAGAGAAUUCAAAACCUUGUUCCACAUAAUAAUGAGGAAAAUAAGAGGCCAUUGUAGAUUUCACGUGAUAAUAAGAUACAAAAGAUAUGGUGAGUUGGAGGGUGUUUCAUAAAGCUAAUUGUUAAUUCAAGACCGACUUUAAGAAGAACUGGUGAUCCUUUCUUACGUGCUCAAUAAUCACCAAUGGUGAAAAUGAAUGCAGGAAAUGAUCACCAGUCUUUCUUAAAGUCGGUUUUAACUUACGAACAGCAUUAUGAAAUGGCCCGUUCCCUUACGUGCAUACUGACUAGAAUUAAGUGACACCAGGAAAUGCCAUGCAGUUUCUUAUUUUACAUGAGCUAGAUUAUGAUGAAAUUUUCACCUUGGUUUAAAUUGCAUUGAAAUACAGUCUGAAAUAUAAGUUCAUCUGCGAAUGACAUUUGGGCUAAAUUUUAGAAUUCGUUGUUUUGCCAGGAGGGUGUUUUAUGAAUCCGUUCGUGAGUUACGACUGACUCUAUGUCUGACUGGUGACCCUUUCUUGUGCUGUAUGAUAUAUAAUAAUAAUAAUAUAGAUAUAUUUACCCAGGGUAGCCACUUCAGUUUCAAAAACUGUUCUACCAGCAGGCCCUGCUAUUAUUAUUACCCCGGCUUUAGCUGAGCUGCCUAGGCGCUCAAGCAUUCAAGGAAUUUCUUCCUACCGGGUACCCAUUCACCUCACCUGGGUUGAGUGCAGCAGUGUGGAUGAGUUUCUUGCUGAAGGAAAUUACGCCAUGGCUGGGAUUCGAACCCACGACCCUCUGUUUCAAAGUCAAAAGACUAAUCCACUGGGCCACAGCGCUCCACUUUGUACCUGACAUAGCACCCAAGAACAUGGUCUAGCCAUGCAUAAAGUCGUGCAUAAAUUUACGAAGAGCUUUAUGAAACACCCACCUGGGCCCCCGUUGCAUAUAAGUUACUUUCAUAGUAACUUUGCCACCCAAUGGUAAAUACCAUGGUAACGAUGCUACGCAGCCAAUCAAAACCAAGAAUUUCACUGGAUGACAGAGUUACUACAGUAGUAAAUUUUAUGCAACGGGGCCCUGGACAGUAAAUGAUCCGUGUUACACUUCCUUUUGGCUACUUGUGUUUAUUCUUGUACCCGGUUUCAUAUAAAACUUGUCCCAUUAUCACCCGCUCUCUCUCUUUCUUUCUCUCUUAUCCCCCUUCUCUCUCUUUUGUCUCCCAAUCUUUUUUUAUAUUUUCUGAAGGUACUUUCACAUUUGGUUGUGCAAUCAUAAUUGUUACAUUAUAUUUUGCGGAAAAGUUGCACGACCAAUUUUGAAAGCCCCUUUAUAUACAUGUGUAUAGAGUGUCCCACAGAAGGGGAAACCGGGAUUCUCGGUUUAUUGGGAAUAAUUUUUUCAAUAUUGGCAUAUGAUUCACGAUCUUUUAUUGAUAUCAUGAAAUCAAUUUGUUGUUGUUUUGGUACAUCUUAUAUCAUUAAGUCAAGAGCUGCCAACGCCAAUCGGAGAGAAAAAGAAACAUUUUUUAAAACCCUUUUUCCAAGCGUAAAAUCUUAUUUUUGUUUCAAAUUUUGGAAAAAAUAUAAUUCUUACAAGUUUGAGAAAUCCCAUUUCAAGGGGAAAAAAAUAAUUAUCCUCUUAAAAAUCCUACUACUUGACCAGCUCUGCUAGGUCGCACAUAGAUGUAAAAAAUACAAAUUUAUGGUCAAAACAUAUUUACUGAUCGUGAUACCUUUUUUUGUGUGACACUCUGUACACACAACCCUUGAAAAUAGAGUGAACUUCAUCAAAUGCAUGUUUACAUAUUAAACCUAUAACCACUUAUUUAGCAAAAAAAUAAGAACUACCAAUUAUUCUCAUUUCCAAUAUCCCUUAUGAUAGAUGUAUGAAACAUGAAAAUUUAUCUUUAACCAACAUAUAUGAAUAACCUUUACUAUUGCCAAUUUGAAGUAAUAUUCAUUUUUGCUUUGUAAAUGCCAUAAGAAUAUUGUUUGAACAAAUCUAACCAAAAUCAAAAUCUGUUCAGAAAUAUUAUUUUCAUUUUAUGAAGUUCACUCUUGAUAAUAUUAAGAUAAAAACAUCCCCUUUUUCAAAUGAAAUUAUACCUACCGUGUUGCAAAUUGCAUUGUUAUUGAGUUACCCAUCAACACUUUCGAUGAUUUUGUUUAUUUGAUCAUGGAAAACUUUAGGCUGGAUAUUGAAAUAGCUCAUCCAAAUGCAGUGAUGCUAAAUUAUACAAAAAUAACAUUCUCCUGAAAUGAGGAAA